UAUUCGAGGCCUCAUGCACACACACACCAACAUUAAAACCCGUUUCAAAAACCGUUUUGGCUUCUUUAAACAAUUAGAGUAAAGGGAGGAAGUGGGACUGUGGGGGAAAGGAUUCAGUAAAAAUAGGUCACUUGGUCAUGAGACGUAUAAUUUCUAAACCAGAGGUUUGUUUGCUACAAUGUCCACAAGAGGGUGGUAUGCACCAAAAAGAAGACUCACACUUUUACUGUGAAGCAGAGGUGGAAAAAUCUAGGUUCAGAAAGCAAAAAUCCUCCCCAGUAUUUUGUUGCAAUCAAGUUGAUUUGCUAAUUAGCACAUCUUUCAACCAGGAGGUAAAACUAAUAAGCUGGUAAAGUUCAAGGGGGGAAGAAAUAUGACAGAGCUUUUUCUUUCUGUCCCCUGGACUUUCAACCUCUGCAGUUCAGACACUGCACAAGCACGAACGGGGUCCUGGAGUCACAGGCUCAACUGGGGGCCACAUAUAUCUGUAUUAUACAUUUCAUACAUUCAUAUAUGUGUAUUUUCAUGAAUAUAUUUAAUACAUUUUCCUACUAAUAGGAAACCCAGAUACCCCUAAAGAGGAGAAUGACAGUGAGGAGCUCCAAUACUUAAUAUUUUCCUUGACCACUCCCAGUUUGGACCCUCACAGACAACAACGGAGGCAGUUGAACCCCCAGUCUCAUUCUGAACAAGAAGAAAAUGAUAAAGUGAUCUAUGCAAGUGUCUGCAAAAUGUAGUAUGGAUAACAUUUCAAUGAUUCACAUGGAUAAAUGAAACAAAAAGCCUACAUUUAAAGUUGACAUUUGAAGUCUGUACAGCGCAACUGUGUCACAGAUGAAAAAAGACAAUCUGCAGAUCUUACCAAGAUCUGUUACUAUGUGAAUAUGCCACUGUUGCAUUCUGUUUUGCUAAAGGAAACUUUUACAUGCAUCUGAUAAUAUUUAGAUUUUGACUGUGAACAACACAGCUGUAUUCUGGAAAAUAUAUACAUUAGUAAGUUGUUUCUGUACUGUUUCUGUACUGUUUUUUGCAGUUUUAUUUUUUCUUUUUCUUGUGUACUCCGAUUUGUUGACUAAUUGAUGUAUGAACAGCAGGGAGUGAUAUUGUUCAAGAAAUAAGCAACAUAUUUAUGUACAGGGAAGUAGUGUCUGGAUAUGGCGGUGUGCUCUUCAGUGUGCUUUUAUCUGUUGUUAAGAAGUAUACUUUUUAUUUUUAGUAAUAAAACAGCUGUGAAAAAGAACUGCAUUAUUAAUUAUUAUAAGAACCAAAAAUAAAACAGUUAGUGACUGACA